UACGGAGGGUGCGAGCGUUAAUCGGAAUCACUGGGCGUAAAGCGCGCGUAGGCGGCUUUUCAAGUCAGGGGUGAAAUCCCACGGCCCAACCGUGGAACUGCCUUUGAAACUGUAGAGCUUGAGUGUCGGAGAGGGUGGCGGAAUUCCAGGUGUAGGAGUGAAAUCCGUAGAUAUCUGGAGGAACACCGGUGGCGAAGGCGGCCACCUGGACGACGACUGACGCUGAGGUGCGAAAGCGUGGGUAGCAAACAGG
rnacentral:rRNA from 1 species